rnacentral:rRNA from 1 species
AUUGAACGCUGGCGGCAGGCCUAACACAUGCAAGUCGAACGAGUGGCGGACGGGUGAGUAAUACAUUGGAAUCUACCUUGUCGUGGGGGAUAACGUCGGGAAACUUUCGCUAAUACCGCAUACGAUCGAAUGAGCCGAUGUGGGAUUAGCUAGUUGGUGGGGUAAAGGCCCACCAAGGCGACGAUCCGUAGCUGGUCUGAGAGGAUGAUCAGCCACACUGGAACUGAGACACGGUCCAGACUCCUACGGGAGGCAGCAGUGGGGAAUAUUGGACAAUGGGCGCAAGCCUGAUCCAGCCAUGCCGCGUGGGUGAAGAAGGCCUUCGGGUUGUAAAGCCCUUUUGUUGGGAAAGCGGUACCCAAAGAAUAAGCACCGGCUAACUUCGUGCCAGCCGCCGCGGUAAUUC